ACCAGGUCCCGUUGGUUCAGUGGA
rnacentral:siRNA from 1 species